CUCUCUUUGUGUACUAUAAAUAAAGAGUUGGGCCUGCUCGGUGAACAAUUGUUUUAACAGCUGCGGUAUUUUAACUGUACUAAGGUAGCAUAAUAAUUUGCCUUAUAAUUUGAGGCUAGAAUGAAUGGUUUGACGAAGGUUAAUCUGUCUCUACUUUAUUUUUUAGAAUUUAAUUUUUAUAGUGAAAAAGCUUGGAUUUUUUAAAGGGACGAGAAGACCCUAUUGAGCUUAUAAUUUUAUUGCUAGGUCAUUAUUAAUAUAAAUGAGAAGCAUAUAAAUUUUAAUUGGGGUGAUUAAGGAAUAAUUUUUGAUUAAUAACUUCCUUAUAUUGAAUUUUGUUAGGUAAAGUAACCAAUAUAGUAUUGCUUAUAAUAUAGUUACCAUAGGGAUAACAGCGUAAUUUGUUUAGAGAGUUCUUAUUGAAAAACAAGAUUGCGACCUCGAUGUUGGAUUAAAGUAACCUUAAGGUGCAGAAGCUUUAGUAGGUAAAUCUGUUCGAUUUUUAAAACUUUACAUGAUC
rnacentral:rRNA from 1 species